rnacentral:rRNA from 1 species
UGGGGAAUAUUGCACAAUGGGCGAAAGCCUGAUGCAGCAACGCCGCGUGAGUGAUGAAGGUCUUCGGAUUGUAAAGCUCUGUCUUUUGGGACGAUAAUGACGGUACCAAAGGAGGAAGCCACGGCUAACUACGUGCCAGCAGCCGCGGUAAUACGUAGGUGGCGAGCGUUGUCCGGAUUUACUGGGCGUAAAGGGUGCGUAGGCGGAUGUUUAAGUGAGAUGUGAAAUACCCGGGCUUAACUUGGGUGCUGCAUUUCAAACUGGAUAUCUAGAGUGCAGGAGAGGAGAAUGGAAUUCCUAGUGUAGCGGUGAAAUGCGUAGAGAUUAGGAAGAACACCAGUGGCGAAGGCGAUUCUCUGGACUGUAACUGACGCUGAGGCACGAAAGCGUGGGUAGCAAACAGGAUUAGAUACCCUGGUAGUCCACGCCGUAAACGAUGAGUACUAGGUGUAGGAGGUAUCGACCCCUUCUGUGCCGCAGUAAACACAUUAAGUACUCCGCCUGGGAAGUACGAUCGCAAGAUUAAAAACUCUAAGUGAAUUGAC